UACAGAGGUGGCGAGCGUUAUUCGGAAUUAUUGGGCGUAAAGGGCGCGUAGGCGGCCAGACAAGUCUCGGGUGAAAUCCCUCGGCUCAACCGAGGAACUGCCUUGGAAACUGUCUGGCUCGAGGCCGGGAGAGGGUAGUGGAAUUCCCAGUGUAGCGGUGAAAUGCGUAGAUACUGGGAGGAACACCGGUGGCGAAGGCGGCUACCUGGACCGGUUCUGACGCUGAUGCGCGAAAGCGUGGGGAGCAAACAGG
rnacentral:rRNA from 1 species